UUCUUCGGAAGUAAGACCCCUUGAAGACGACGAGGUAGAUAGGAUGGAGGUGGAAGUGCAGCAAUGCAUGGAGCUGACCAUUACUAAUCGGUCGAGGUCUUAACCGG
rnacentral:rRNA from 1 species